ACGGGUGAGUAACGCGUGGGAAUCUACCGUACCCUACGGAAUAGCUCUGGGAAACUGGAGGUAAUACCGUAUACGCCCGGAAGGGGAAAGAUUUAUCGGGGUAUGAUGAGCCCGCGUUGGAUUAGCUAGUUGGUGGGGUAAAGGCCUACCAAGGCGACGAUCCAUAGCUGGUCUGAGAGGAUGAUCAGCCACAUUGGGACUGAGACACGGCCCAAACUCCUACGGGAGGCAGCAGUGGGGAAUAUUGGACAAUGGGGGCAACCCUGAUCCAGCCAUGCCGCGUGAGUGAUGAAGGUCUUAGGAUUGUAAAGCUCUUUCACCGAUGAAGAUAAUGACGGUAGUCGGAGAAGAAGCCCCGGCAAACUUCGUGCCAGCAGCCGCGGUAAUACGAAGGGGGCUAGCGUUGUUCGGAAUUACUGGGCGUAAAGCGCACGUAGGCGGAUAAUUAAGUCAGGGGUGAAAUCCCGCAGCUCAACUGCGGAACUGCCUUUGAUACUGGUUAUCUUGAGUAUGGAAGAGGUAAGUGGAAUUGCGAGUGUAGAGGUGAAAUUCGUAGA
rnacentral:rRNA from 1 species